UACGUAGGGUGCGAGCGUUAUUCGGAAUUACUGGGCGUAAAGCGCGCGCAGGCGGUUCGUUGUGUCUGAUGUGAAAGCCCCGGGCUCAACCUGGGAAUGGCAUUGGAAACUGGCGAGCUAGAGUGUGGCAGAGGGGGGUGGAAUUCCGCGUGUAGCAGUGAAAUGCGUAGAGAUGCGGAGGAACACCGAUGGCGAAGGCGGCCCCCUGGGCUGACACUGACGCUGAGGCGCGAAAGCGUGGGGAGCAAACAGG
rnacentral:rRNA from 1 species